UACGUAGGGUGCAAGCGUUGUCCGGAAUCAUUGGGCGUAAAGCGCGUGUAGGCGGCCAGAUAAGUCCGCUGUGAAAUCUCGAGGCUCAACUUCGAGCUGUCGGUGGAAACUGUCUGGCUAGAGUCCGGAAGAGGAGAAUGGAAUUCCUGGUGUAGCGGUGAAAUGCGCAGAUAUCAGGAAGAACACCCGUGGCGAAGGCGGUUCUCUGGGACGGUACUGACGCUGAGACGCGAAAGCGUGGGGAGCGAACAGG
rnacentral:rRNA from 1 species